GAUGAACGCUGGCGGCGUGCCUAAUACAUGCAAGUCGAGCGAACAGACGAGGAGCUUGCUCCUCUGACGUUAGCGGCGGACGGGUGAGUAACACGUGGAUAACCUACCUAUAAGACUGGGAUAACUUCGUGAAACCGGAGCUAAUACCGGAUAAUAUAUUGAACCGCAUGGUUCAAUAGUGAAAGACGGUUUUGCUGUCACUUAUAGAUGGAUCCGCGCCGCAUUAGCUAGUUGGUAAGGUAACGGCUUACCAAGGCAACGAUGCGUAGCCGACCUGAGAGGGUGAUCGGCCACACUGGAACUGAGACACGGUCCAGACUCCUACGGGAGGCAGCAGUAGGGAAUCUUCCGCAAUGGGCGAAAGCUUGACGGAGCAACGCCGCGUGAGUGAUGAAGGUCUUCGGAUCGUAAAACUCUGUUAUUAGGGAAGAACAAAUGUGUAAGUAACUAUGCACGUCUUGACGGUACCUAAUCAGAAAGCCACGGCUAACUACGUG
rnacentral:rRNA from 1 species